AUGCUCAGUGAAAGAAUAAGUACUUGUGAUCUUUUGACAAGGAAGAGUAUGCACCUUGAUUCCACCAACUGUGUUUUAUGUAAUGAUGAAGAUAUGGAAGAUAGAACUCACCUUCUCUUUUCUUGCCCAUUUAGUCAAGGCUUUUGGUGGAACAUUGGUAUUGAAGGGAACACAGAUAUGAGCAUCCAUGAUAUGAUAAUUGAAGCUAAACAGAGAUACCAUUUUGCUUUUUUCAUGGAAAUUACGAUUGUGGGCAGCUGGAGCAUCUGGAAUCAAAUAAAUGGAUUGAUAUUUGAAGGAAUUCCUUGCUCAAUCACAGAAUGCAGAUAUGAUUUCAUCAAAACUUUCAAGUUGACCAUGCUUAGAGCCAAACCUAGUCUGAAGGAUGGCAUGUCAUCCUGGAUUGACAAUAUUUAA
rnacentral:rRNA from 1 species